rnacentral:misc_RNA from 1 species
GAUGAAGAACGCAGCGAAAUGAGAUAAGUAAUGUGAAUUGCAGAAUUCAGUGAGUCAUCGAAUCUUUGAACGCACAUUGCGCCCUCUGGUAUUCCGGAGGGCAUGCCUGUCUGAGCGUCAUUGUCAACCCUCAAGCUCAGCUUGCUGUUGGGUCCCCGUCGUUGCUUUAACGGCGGACCCGAAAGGUAAUGGCAGAGUCCGUGAGACCCUAGACGCAGCGAGCUUCUAGCACGCGUCUGGACGUUUUUCGGGCUCGGUCUUAACUAGAUGAUAACUUCCGAUUGACCUCAGAUCAGGUAGGGAUACCCGCUGAACUUAAGCAUAUCAAUAAGCGGAGGA